rnacentral:lncRNA from 1 species
ACUGCUUCCUGACAGGGAGUGCUGCAUAGCUAGAGAGCUCCUUCAGUGUUUCAGUGAGUUCAGCUGUUCUUGCUGUAUAUGACUAUUGACCUACCUGUGAAUACUUUGCCUGGUAUUGCUAAGAACCUGUCAGAAGGAAUUUUGCAUCUUCAUGAGAAGAACAGCUGAUGUGCCAAGAGAGGGGAAGAAGUCUCAUCUUGAUACAUUGUGGAAAACAACAACAACAACAAAACCCACAACAAAUAUUCCAGAAUUUCCUGAUGCUACCUGAUCUUCAAGUAUCUUCUUUGACAAGCUGUAUUUUUCAACAAGACAAAGCACAUGAAGGGAGAAAUGCAUUCAGAAUCUUCAAUUUCAUGAUAUCAAGGAAAAAUGGAAAACUCAUUGUGACCUUACUUAUUCUUCAUGACUUUAUAAGUUACAAAAUAUUAAAGUUCUACCUCUGUCCUGCUUGGAAUAUUAUAAGCCAGUUCUUCGGCUUGGCAUAAGCAGUACUUGUUGUCAAGGAGCAUACUUGCUUGCAGAGAAUGCUUGUUUACUACUUGAUUUGCUCAGGCACUUUGCUUUUUACCUCCUCUCUCCUUUCAGCAGCUGCAAAAUAUACUUGAGAAUAACUAUGUUGCUCGCAAGCCACAUGGUAUGCACUGUAUUCUUGGCAGAAUACCUCCCAUGUACUUGAUCACUGUGGAAUCUCCCUUGCCCCUUAUUCUGCACCAUGAACAGAAGAUAAUCUAGAUAAUCUACCAUGUAACUGGAUAUAGGGGGGGAAAUAAAAAAAAAAACAACAAAAAAACA